rnacentral:rRNA from 1 species
ACCCGCUGAACUUAAGCAUAUCAAUAAGCAGAGGAAAAGAAACCAACAGGGAUUGCCCUAGUAACGGCGAGUGAAGCGGCAACAGCUCAAAUUUGAAAUCUGGCUUCGGCCCGAGUUGUAAUUUGCAGAGGAAGCUUUAGGCGCGGCACCUUCUGAGUCCCCUGGAACGGGGCGCCAUAGAGGGUGAGAGCCCCGUAUAGUUGGAUGCCUAGCCUGUGUAAAGCUCCUUCGACGAGUCGAGUAGUUUGGGAAUGCUGCUCAAAAUGGGAGGUAAAUUUCUUCUAAAGCUAAAUACCGGCCAGAGACCGAUAGCGCACAAGUAGAGUGAUCGAAAGAUGAAAAGCACUUUGAAAAGAGGGUUAAAUAGCACGUGAAAUUGUUGAAAGGGAAGCGCUUGUGACCAGACUUGCGCCGGGCAGAUCAUCCGGUGUUCUCACCGGUGCACUCUGCCCGGCUCAGGCCAGCAUCGGUUCUCGCGGGGGGAUAAAGGCCCUGGGAACGUAGCUCCUCCGGGAGUGUUAUAGCCCGGGGCGUAAUGCCUUCGCGGGGACCGAGGUUCGCGCAUCUGCAAGGAUGCUGGCGUAAUGGUCAU